rnacentral:misc_RNA from 1 species
GAUGAAGAACGUAGCGAAAUGCGAUAAGUAAUGUGAAUUGCAGAAUCCAGUGAAUCAUCGAAUCUUUGAACGCACAUUGCGCCCGCCAGCAUUCUGGCGGGCAUGCCUGUUCGAGGGUCAUUUCAACCCUCGACCUCCCCUUGGGGAGGUCGGCGUUGGGGACCGGCAGCACACCGCCGGCCCUGAAAUGGAGUGGCGGCCCGUCCGCGGCGACCUCUGCGUAGUAAUACAGCUCGCACCGGAACCCCGACGCGGCCACGCCGUAAAACACCCAACUUCUGAACGUUGACCUCGAAUCAGGUAGGACUACCCGCUGAACUUAAGCAUAUCAAUAAGCGGAGGA